UGGGUUUAUUCACCCUUUCCCUAGGCUAAG
rnacentral:piRNA from 1 species